rnacentral:misc_RNA from 1 species
UCCGAGUUGACCCCGGCAGUCUCCUAUGAGUCCCCACCAUUACGUGCUGGCAACAUGGAACGAGGGUUGCGCUCGUUGCGGGACUUAACCCAACAUCUCACGACACGAGCUGACGACAACCAUGCACCACCUGUGAACCCGCCCCAAAGGGGAAGGACCAUCUCUGGCCCGGUCGGGAACAUGUCAAGCCUUGGUAAGGUUCUUCGCGUUGCAUCGAAUUAAUCCGCAUGCUCCGCCGCUUGUGCGGGCCCCCGUCAAUUCCUUUGAGUUUUAGCCUUGCGGCCGUACUCCCCAGGCGGGGCACUUAAUGCGUUAGCUGCGGCGCGGAGACCGUGGAAUGGCCCCCACACCUAGCGCCCAACGUUUACGGCAUGGACUAC